CCUUGGGAUCUGCCUGCCUUGGCCUCCCAAAGUGCUGGGAUUACAGGCGUGAGCCACUGCACCUGGCAUAAUUUUGGCUACUCUUAAUCAACCCCAGAAGGUUUAAUAAGAACUUUGAUUAGCUACUUUCUAGCUUCAUGAAUUUACCAAGCUAUUCCUGGUUUUGCACCUUUAAGAAACUCAUUUUUUAAAUCUGAUGAAUAUAUGUCCAUAAGAAGCUUUACUUGGUUAAAAUUAAAUACAUACAAAAUUGACAGAAAAAUUAUUUUGUCAAAGAAAAAUGAACGAAGAGUAGUGUCAUUUUUCAUUGUCACAUUCAUUUCUCUAAGAAAUGGAUCUGUCCUUCAACAUCUCCUCCUAGCCCAUACUGUUUGAAUAUAGAGGGCUCUUGGGCCAUGGUCCGGGGAUUAUUUAUAAUCAGCAACAAGGGGUUACAGUGUCAUGGCUUACAAUUUGGUGGGGUGGGACCAGGGACUAGUUGGAGUUUUUUGUUUUGGUCGUCAUAAUUUAUUUGAAGCAGGGAGCUUGGCUCUCCACCCUUUGUACUUAUUAGUCCACCAAACAUCUGCCCAGUCACCACUGGGACUUUUAACACUCCAUACUUAUACAUGCUUGAUUUUUUGUGGUAUAGACAUAGACACUUAUCAACAUGGGCUAGCUUCUUUUGACCUUGCUCAUCUCCAUACGGGAUGACUGAACAGGCAUCAAACUGAAGGGUUAAAAAAUGACUAGCCUGAGUUACACUGAUGACAAGAUGACCUUCUGUUGAAAAGAAAAAAGAGAAUAAAUAAGUGAUUAUUAAGCUCUUUUUAGAGUUAAUUUGGUGGGGGUGGGCUGUGGAGUGACAGUUCAUGAUUCUGGAGGUGGCGGCACCUUCUUGACUCGGGUGUGAUGAGUCCAUCCUCUUUCUGUUGUCCAGACUGCAGUCUCAGUACAUAGGAGCACUAGGUAGGGUCCUUCCCAGGCUGGUUCGAGCUUCCUUUUCUUCUACCCUUGGAUGAGAACAUGGUCUCAAGGCCAAUGCUGAUGUUCUGGAAACUCCAGGGGUGAUGCCUGUGCUAGGAGACCUUUAGUCCCAAGGGAAAAGAAGGUAGAGCCUAGACCAAGUAUAUAAUUUUUGAGGAAAUGAUCCUUUGUUUCAAACAUAGGGAUGUCAGCAAUGGAGUGUAAGUAGGGCAUUCCAUAGAGCGUUUCCUCAGGUGACAGGCCAAUAUCUUUCCAAGGGGCAGUCCGGAUUCUUAACCAAGCAAUAGGAGUAUAUUUAGUCCAUGGCAAUCGAGUUUCUAAAACUAAGUUAAGUGGUUUAUUAGAGUCUGAUUCAUCCACUCUACUCUUCCUGUGGAGGAUGGAUGCCAAGGAGUAUGGUAUUCCCAAUGUAUAUCUAGUACCUGUGCUAACUUCUUAAUGACAUGCACAGUGAAAUGGGUUGCAGUAUCUGAAUCAGUAUUUUCUAUUAGUUCAAAUCUGGGUAUGAUGUUUUCAAUUAGCGCUUUAACUACAUUACUGGAGGUUGCACGUGAGAAUGGGAUUGCCUCUACCCAGUGGGUAAAAUGGUCUAUUAUUACUAAUAAGUAUAACUACCAAUUGGAGGCAUUUCAGUGUAAUUGAUCUGAACACUUUGAAAUGGUCUCAGUGCUGGAUUUCUUCCACCAAGGCGCAAUUUCCUUAGAUCCUGCUUAUUAGCUUUUUUUACAUGUUAAGCAACUAUCUAUAACUUGUUUGGCCAGGGUGUAAAUUCUUAUACACCCAUAAACCCGGAGAACUGCAUUGCACAUUGCUUGGGGUCCCCAAUGGGUCCCUUGAUGUAAUUGAGACAAGACUUCCCUCAUGAGAGGUUUUGACAACAUUUCCCUUUGAUCUGAUAAUAUCCAUUUCCUAUCCGCAUUUUCUUUAGCUCCUAUUUUUAUCAACGUCUUUUGUUCAAUGGAAGAGAAAACGGGUUACAGUAGGAGGAGGGCAUGGAGUUAAAUGGAAGAAAUGGCAACUUGUUUUGCUAUUUUAUUGUAACCGACUGAGUUAUAGAGAGAAUGCCACAGUCUGAGACUAAUUCAGUGAUCCUUUAUUGCCAGCAACCGAGAGACGGCUAGAGCUCAAAAUUCUCUCAGCCCCGAAGAAGGGGCUACACAUCUUUUUACACCUUGGUCUAAAGAGGGGAGGAGGAGUGUAGCUGAAGCAAUUUUUUACAGAAGCAGAACAGGCAAAAAAGUUGAAAGAUAAAUGGUUACAGAAACAGUAAUAAGAAAAUAAACAGUUCCAGGUGCAGGGGCUUAAAUUAUCACAAAGUGAUAAACGCAAAGGCUUUGGGCACCGUCAACCGAGUGCGUUCCCAGGAGCUGCUGGUACAGCUUGCCUCAGUAUCUUAUCAGUAAGCGCAUUCUUGGAUGUGCUUGGAGUCAGCUUGCACCAGUUAUGUCCUUAAGGGAGGGGGACAAGGGGCUGCAAGUGAAGAAACCAAAAUGGAGUCUGUCCAGCUCUCUCAGCUAAGAGAGAGUCAAUCAGGUUAAAAGAAGUUAGGGUAUCACAUUUCCCACUCGUGUUUGGGGGAAUCAGAUCAUUGAUUCCUCGGUUAUAACAAGGGUGUUAUAUUGGGUUCUAAGAUACAUAAGAUUGACAGAAGCUAUGCGUUGCUUUACAAAAUUAAGAAACCAAUUUAAUAUACAAGGCCUGAAGACUAACCCUAACAAGAGGAGGAGAAGGGGGUCCCGCCAACCCAGUAAUUAGAGUAGUUAGCCAGGGAUUCCAGUUAAACAUGCUUUGGUACUUUGGUACUCCAGGAAUGAGAAAGGUGGUGUUACUUUCUUGUUCCUUCUGGCAUCUAUCUAGAUUUUCUCGAACUCUUUGAAGAGUAUUUUUUAUGACUCCAGACUGAUUGGCAUAGAAACAACAACUUUCUUCUAGAGCUGUGCAUAAACCUCCUUGGGAGAUAAAUAGCAGAUCUAAGCCUCGGCGGUUUUGAAGAACUACUUCAGCUAGAGACUCUACCUGGGCAUGUAGUAUAUUUAUGGCUGAUUGGAGAUUGCUUAAAUCAGCAUCUACCUGUUGAGAUAGUGAUAUUAGUCCAGUUUCUCCUUGAAUCAGGGCAGUCGUGCCAAUAGCUGCUGACGUAGCUAUGCUAAGGCCAGCUAGAAGGGGUACAAGGAGUAGGGCAGCUCGGUGAAACCUGAAAUGCAAUUCAGGGGGAGCAAUGAGAAGUUGUCCUUCUGGCCCACUGUACAUGUAGAUCUGGGGGAGUACAUGAAUCAACAUGCAUAGGAGAGGUCCAGGUUCAGUCCCAUUGAUGCAGCGAGUGAGGCCUGAAAUGCAGGCCAACCAGGUAUUUUUGGGUGCCUGGUAGGAGACUGAGGGGUUUAAGGAAGUAAGGAGAGACUCACUACAAGUAGCCUGAAAGGGAGAAGCAGGUAAGUUAUACCUUGCGCUAAUUAGACAGAAGGCAUUCCCUGACACAUCUCCUAGUGUAAGGGCAUGGGGGCACGUAUGACAAGAAAGAGAGUCCAUUUUGAGCAUGGCUUCUACUCCUAAUCCAACAUAAUAUGGGGGUUUGGCCUUUCGGCACAACCAGCAAUCUCAGGCUAGUUUAGGCUUGGUGAGAUUAAGGAGGUGAUGUAUCCCGUCCAAAAUGGACAUCGGGCUGGGUUGGAGGUAUUGUCAUUGCAGCUGGGGUCUCAGAACCAGGAAUGGCAGUGGGACAGUUAAAUCGACUCUCUCUGGGUGUUUUUGGAACAUAGGGUCACCUAAAUCAGUUAAAGUUCUGAUUGGCUUCAUGGGACCAGGAAUUUUUUCUGGAUGGUGAACAUAGUUCCAACAUCAAAUCCUGAAAUAUAAAGCCUUAAUCCCUAUGACAUGCUGUAAUACCAUUGAGUUAAACUAGGGUUACGGAGAGUUAUAGUAAGAGGAUUACAAUUUCCUAUAGUACACGGCUUAGGAUGGGAAGCACAAGCUAUGGAAAGGGUUGAGGAUCAGGUUCAUCCUCCAGAGUAAGUGGCCAAGGUUACACACAUGCAGUAAGGGCAGAAAAACUGGUAAGAAUCUCGACAACUAGAGUCAGGGCGAUUUCCAGGACAAAGGUAAAAGUCAACGCUCUGGAGCCUUUUUUCUGCACCCUUAGAACUUCCACAUCCAGUUUGGCUUCUGGUGUGUCCGAACCCUGCAGCAAGGUCAGCGUUCCCUGCUCUCAUGAUCGGCAGAUUGCAUUGCUCUUCAAGGGUAUGGGCAGGGUCGGGGAACAAAGCACAUAAACCGACUACAAAAGAGACUUCCUUGGAGGGUCCCACCUUCCAAGUGGUGUUUGCAAACACACAUCCUGUCAUGAAGGAAGUGAGGAGAAAAGAGUAGGAAGGGGCAGAGGACAUAACAGGUGGAAACAGACAGAAGAGGUAAAUAAAAAGAAUUAAUUCGAUAGCUUUACUCAACUUAGGCGCAGUUUUAAGGGGCCUGGCCUAGGCUUGGGGACCCAUUUUUUUUGCUGGGCUUUGUUGGCCUUUUUGAUGCGAGAAUGAUGAAUCCAAGCAGGAGUGCCGUCCACCUUCAGAGCUGUUGGUGUGGUGAGGAUGACAGUAUGAGGUCCUUUCCAGGCAGGAGUCAGUCCUUUUUUCUGGAACUUUUUAACAUACACUAGGUCACCCAGCUGGAAAGAGUGGCAGGGCCCAGUCUGGUCAGGAACUGGGCUGGGGUGUGCUCCCCUGACAAGCAGCUGGAUGAUGUCUUGUACCCGUUGGAGAGACUGCAGGUACUGUAACAAGUUAGCUUGUGAGAUUUCUGCUAAAUGGGUAUCCUUUAGCUUAGGCAAGAUAGGCGGAGCCCUUCCAUACAUGAUUUCAAAAGGUGAAAACCCAGCCUGGUAAGGGGUGCAUCUUACUCUAAGAAGGGCUAAAGGAAGGAGCUUUACCUAGUUUUCACUGGUUUCUAGGAUUAAUUUUGCAAGAGUACUUUUUAGGAUGGGGUUCAUGCAUUCUACUUGUCCAGAGCUCUGGGGUCGAUAGGCACAAUGGAGUUUCCAUUGAAUGUUUAAUGCCUUGCUGACCGACUGAGCUAUGGACGAGGUGAAGGCUGGUCCAUUAUCAGACCUUAUUACAACAGGCAGUCCAUGUUGAGGGAUGAUUUCAUUGAGUAAAAGCUUAACUACCGUGGUAGCAGUUUCGUUUUUGGUGGCAAAUGCCUCAGUCCAUCCAGAAAAGGUGUCUACUAGCACCAGGAGGUAUUUAUACCCUGCCAAGUGUGGUUUUACCUCUGUAAAGUCAAUUUCCCACCUUCCUCCUGGCAAGCCUCCCUGGAGGCGGUGGCCUGGGCUGGGCUUAGGACCUUGCUUGGUGUUUACUUGGGCACAAGCCGUUUACUGGAGAGCUGCUUGGUUAGUUAAGUCCUGAAGGUGGGGGAUCUUGAAAUGGCUCCUUAGAAGCUGGGCCAGUUUUACUCCUCCUAAAUGGGUGGUAGAAUGUAGAUGAUUGAUAAAAGUUUCCCCAAGGGCUUGGGGCAUGAAGAUUCUGGAAUCAGGAAGAAUUCACCAACCUUCCUGAUUUUUACUGGCUUGAAGAUCCGAAGCUUGUUUUUCUUCCUCUGGGGAGUAUUCUGGGUAGUCUGCCCAGUCAGUUGUGGAAAGGACACAGAGGGCAGCAGGGUUAAAGGCACGACCAGGAGCUGAGCUGCCUCUCAAGCUGCAGAGUCUGCUCUUUGGUUACCACGAGCAAUGGCCAUGUCUUCUCUUUGAUGUCCUUUGCAGUGAAUUGCAGCCACCUGUUGAGGGAGCCAAACAGCUUCAAGCAGGGCUAAAAUUUCUUCUUUGUUGUUGACACUCUUUCCUGCUGAGGUAGGAAAUGCUGGGAAGAAAAAGCUGGGCCUUCUUGGCUGGGACCUGAUACCCGAAUUCCUGAAGGAGGUAAAGUAGGUCCGUAGUAUGUUGCAGGCAGCUGUCAGUAGUUUCAGUAGCCAAUAACAGGUCGUCUACAUACUGGAGAAGAGUGCAGUUAGGGUGACUGGCUCAGAAUGGUAAAAGAUCCUGUUGGAGGGCUUCCCUAAAAAGGGUGGGGGAAUUUUUAAAACUUCGGGGUAACCAAGUCCAGGUUAAUUGGGUGGUGUCUACCGAGCCAGGAUAUGUCUGUUCAAAAGCAAAGAUAGGUUGACUUUUGGGGCCAGAGGAAUAGCAAAAAAAAGCAUCCUUGAAGUCAAGGACAGUGUACACCAUAUGUUCUGGUGGGAGCAGGCUGAGUAAAGUAUAAGGGUUAGAGACAGUUGGAUGGACAGUGACUGUCUGCUUGUUACCUUCCUGCAAGUCCUGUACAGGCUGGUAAUCAUUUGUUCCGGGUUUCUGGACCGGCAAAAAUGGAAUAUUCCAGGCGAUCUCACAUGGUGUGAGUAUACCAGCUUGUAAUAGUUGCUGAAUAUGAGGAUUAAUUCCCUCUAUAGCCCACAGAAUCAUAGGAUAUUGUUUGACCUGGACCGGCAGGGUGGUGGCCAGGAGUUCUACAACAGCUGGCAGAUGGUGGUUUGCCAGUCCUGGGAGGUAUGAGGAAACAGAGUCUGUAAAGCCAGUAGGAGAGGAUUACUUUUAUUCUCCGGCAGUUGUGAGGGUGAAACUAAGAGAUAUUCCUCUGACCGAAGGGUGGUUAGCAGGAGCUGAGCAGUAGGGGGCAUUGUGUCCCCUAACAUGAGGUGAGUUUGUUGGGCCGAGAAGGAGAUGGACGCCUGUAGCUUAUGAAGCAGGUCUCAUCCGAGGAGGGAGAAGGGGCACUCUGGGACCACGAGGAACAAGUGGGUUACUCUUUUCUGUCCUAAACUCACCUCUCGUGAGUGGGUGACAGGAUAUUCCUGAAUAGCUCCAGUAGCCCUUUACUCAGCAACCUUUUUAUUAGACACUGCCUAAGGGUGUCUGGAGUACUGAGUGUUCCACCCCGGUGUCAAUUAGGAAGCGUACAGGCUGGCCCCCCACUGUGGUGGUCACCAUGGGUUCCCGGGGCCAAGUGACAAAGAGCCCUGGCCCCGUCAAUCAUCAGAUUCCUCUGCUGCGGGGCAGGGUGAGGACCUUUUUCUUUUCUGGUUUCUCCUCUGGCUUUAAUGGGCAUUCCUUUCUCCAGUGUCCAAUCUGCUUGCAAGAAGCACAUUGGUUUCUUUAUAGGGGAGUCCUCUCACGUUUCUGGCCUUCCUGGUGGGGACUCGGGGUCCCCUGGUCAGUGCUCUGUGAUGGGGGCCCUUCCUUUUUGGCUUCUUGGAUGGCAGCCACUAAGCUUUUUGCCUGUCUUUUUGAUGCUUUGUCUGCAGCCCUUUCAGCUGCCUGAGCUACCUGUUUUUGCUUUUCAAAUUCUCGAUUGUCGAAAACUCUCUGGGCUAUCUCUAAAAGCUGGCUGAUGUAAGGAAAUACUUUCUGGCUUCUCUUCAGAUAUGGUCCCUCUCUUCAGAGGUGAAAAGGGAUGAAAGGAGUUGCUGACACUCAUCCCAGGUGGGCCGGUGAGUCUGGAGCACAGACUCCAUCAGUGAGGUUAAGACCUGGGGCUUUUCAGAAAAGGGGGGAUUAUGAGCCUUCCAGUUGUACAGGUCAGAAGUAGAGAAGGGGACAUAAACUAAAAAUGGAGCACAACGCCCACUGCCCAAAGGGAUUUGGGCCUCUGUCAGUGGGAGGAGCGGGGCCACCUCCUCCGGCUGAGGCCAUAAUUGGGAGGAUAUAGGCAGAGAGGCCACAGAGGAUGUAGUUGAGGAGACAAGGGAAGAUUCUGGGGGAGGAGGAGGGUUAUAGGGUGGUGGAAAUGGGUGAAGAAAACUUUCCUCUUCUUCAGAAGGAGGCAGUACAGGAGGAAUCGAGGGAGCUGAGGGUGGAGGCAAAAGUGAGGUCUGGCUAAAAAGGACCUUGGAGGUAGGAUCACGAAUGGCUACAGAGUUUUAUCACGAGUGGAGCCAUGAAGGAGAGCUCUGGACUAAAUCUAGCCAUUGAUCAAUGUAGGGAAACUGAUCGGGGUGACCGGGAGUUCCAACAACGACCCACCACACAGCCUGAACAGCUGUGAAGUGUAGUGACCCGUCUGGGGGCCACCCAGUUCCAAACUUUGGCCAUUCUACUUCGCAGAGUGUCCAGAGUUUGCCUUUUUUAAGGCGGACCCCGUAAUCAUCUGAGAAGCCUAGAGAGAAAUUCUGCAACAUACACUGGAGAGGACUCCAAUCUUUAUGGGGCCGGGAAGAAGAGUUUACUAUUCUGGAGGCAAUUAACAAGGUUUGAACAAAAAUAUUAAACCCAGCAUGGACAAAGAUAUUCACGGCCUGGGAGGCUAUGGUAUCAGAAGAACAGAAGUAUUAUAGCUAGAAGAAGUAGGAAAACAACUAUAGCCAAUAUUUCUUGCCACAUAAGGUCUGUCUCCUCAAGCUUCGAGAUCUAUGGAGAGGAUAAGAGGAAAGGCAGGACUGGGAUGGCCAGCCCAACCGACUAAUGAGGAAUUUGACCUCCUGGGAUAGAAAAUCUGUACUAAGGACCUUGAAGAAGUCCUUGCCCAGUCAUUUUGGGCAGUAUCGACGAUCCGACAUAUGAAAUUUAGACAGACACUAAACAGGACAAUAGGCACUGGGGUAUAUAAACAAGCAUGGCAAUUUUUAUAGACAGACAAGGGGAGGGGGUCCCGUGAUGGGAUCAGUCAGAUGCCCUCCUGGCUGCUCCCCUUUCGGGGACUUAGGCUCCUCUUGGCAUUGGCAGGCUGGUAUAAACCCCUGGCUUGGAUCGAGCUAUGCCUGAUGCCGCCCUAAGCCUUAUGAGGUCACCACGGAACCACAGGUGAGGGCCUUCUCGAAUUCCCUAGCUUUCACCCUGGAGCUACAAACUGGAAAUUCAAGCGCAAGCCCUUGAACUCCACAUUCACUCACUCACUCACUCACUCAGAGUUUAUUACAAUUUUUAUACCCAUUCUAAAACAGAGAUCUCCCGGAGACCUGAAUGAGAGAGGGAGAAGAGAUAGAGAGAGAGAGAGACUAGACUUAACAGAGAAUCCUGACAGAAACCAGGACUCUGUCCUCCAGUGUCCUGGAGCAUGGACAGAGUCUGAGGGAGGACCUUCGUCAGGGCCGUUUCCCUCCCAGAGAGACAGAGUCAGAUCUGACUUACCUUCCCGGGACUAGAGACUGAGGACUCAGGAGUUGAAUUUGGCUGGGCGCACCGGCAGUCGAUCCGUUCCCCUCCAGAAGACAGUGGCCUGUGGAGCCCUGGAACGUCUUCAGGUGGCCCUGUAAGCCAGCUGUCUGUCUGGGGAAGCCCGGAAUGAGUCAGGUCUUCACCCGGUGGCGAAUCUCUCUGGGGCUUCCAAAUGUCGUAACCGAGCAAGUCAUAGAGAGAAUGCCACACUCUGAGACUAAUUCAGGAGUCCUUUAUUGCUGGCGACUGAGAAAGAGCUAGAGCUUGAAAUUCUCUCGGUCCGGAAGAAGAGGCUAGAGUUCUUUUUAUACCUUGGCCUAAAGAGGGGAGGGGGAGUCUAGCUGAAGCAAUUUUUUACAGAAGCAGAACAGGAAAAAAUUAAAAGAUAAAUGGUUACAGAAACAGUUACAGGAAAAUAAACAGUUCCAGGUGCAGGGGCUUAAAGUAUCCCAAAGUGAUAAAAGCAGGGGCUUUGGAUACCACCAACCAAGUGUGCUCCCAGGAGCUGCUGGUACAGCUUGCCUCAGUAUCUUAUCAAUAAGCGCAUUCUUGGAUGUGCUUGGAGUCAGCUUGCACCAGUUAUGUCCUUAAGGAGGGGGACAAGGGGCUGCAAGCGAAGAAACCAAGCUAAGACUCUCUCAGCUAUUGACUCUCUCGAUAUUGACUCUCAAUUGAGUCUCCCAAGCUAUUGACUCUCUCAGCUAAGAAAGAGUCAAUCAGGAUAAAACAAGAUAGGGUAUCACAAUUUGAUCUGCAAGAUUAUUUCCUGGACUUGUGAAAGGCGAGUCGUUUUGGUGCCCUGGGACAUGUACAAUAGCUAUCUCUUCUGGCAAUUGGAGAUUGUUGAGGACACGAGCAUCAGUUCUCUAUGAACUAAAUCUUGGCCUCUACUAUUGAUAAGAGCCCUCUCCAUCCAAAUUUUCCCAAAUGUGUGUGCCUCCCCAGAGGGAUACUUAGAGUCAGUAUAGAUAGAUUUUCUUGGUUUUGUAAAUGUCCUAAAGCUUGGCUGAGUGCAAACAGUUCACACCCUUGGACAGACCAAUUAUUAGACCCCCUUCCUGAUUUUACUUUUUUAACAGUCUUUCCAUUAAUCACUGAAUACCUAUUAUGUCUCUUUCUUUUAAUCACCUGGGAGGUUCCAUCUAUGAAUAAGUGCCACCCUGUCUUGAAGGGAGUUUUUCCUAAGUCUGGUUGAACUUUCGUAUGGUAAUUAAUUCGAUUUAAACACGCGUGCUCUCUCGUUUUACGUUUGGAUCCCCCGUUAAAGAGCCUGCUGAAUAAAGUGAAUUAUUAGUACUUAAUAUUAAAUCACCUUUUUCCCAGAAAGAUAGCCUCAUAUUUUAAAAUUUUUGAGUUGGUAAUCUCCCUCCUUGCGUUUUGAUUUAAUAUAGUUUUAACUUGGUGGGUUGUGGCCUGAAGCGGCUGGGGAGUAACUUGAAACCUCAGCUGAAGGGACAGCACAGGCUGGGGCGUGGCCUGAAACAGCUGGGGAGUAACCUGAAACCACAGCCGGAGGGACCUGAGAGGGGAACCAAAGGGGCAGGAUUGGGGGCGCUGAAGGAAGGAAGGUGAUUUAGAGGAUCCCAUGUCUUGGUAGGUAUGGGUUGUCUAGGCAUGGGAACUCUUUCCUUUUUAGAAAGGUUGGUUUCUGAUUUUCUCCCUCCAGAGUCUAAAGGGUAAAGGAGAACUGGUCCCUGCCGCCAGCAGAGGGCGUAAUCGAUUUUUCCUGGGACACAGGGCUCUUACUGUUAACAUAUUUGAUUAACAGCUGACAAAUUCGCUCUUCAUUAGACUUAAAUUUUGGCCAGAAAAGUGAGGGCUUAAGGAUGGGUUCUCGAACUUAAAUAAAACAACAAUAUUCUAUCAUCUGCUGUUUUUGUUUAUACUUGGUUCUCUUAUUAUUUUUUCAAUACUUUAGCAUAAGCCCCAAGGGGCUAUCAGAAGGAAAUUCAUCACUCUCUAGACUCUUUAGUUUUCCUGUCUUACUUGAAACGUUCCCCAUCUUAGGGAUUAUGGGGAGGAGGCCCAACCCCUCCUGUGAGAUUUCUACCCUCCCCCUUCCUGGAGGCUUACUGAGGCUUUGGGGAAAGGCUCCAACCCAACCUGUUUGGAUUUCUACCCUCCCCCUUCCUCUUUGUCUACUCUGUCUGUUCCUGACUCUAGUUGACAGAUGGCAGCAUGAGGCCAUAGAGAAGACUCACUCACUCCACAUAACCACCAUACUAAGUCCCAUUCAUACACUGUCAGCCUCCAGCUUAUCCCAACCACCUGGGAAAUACUUUGUCACCUUCGCCAAGUCUCCUACCUUAUUCCAUGCACAAGAAUUUCCUGGUCCUCUUAUUGUUGCGGUCUUGCAAGCUUCUCCUCCCCGCUUUGCUGAGAUCCAGACUUAUUUGUCACAAAGCGGGGGGGGGGCCCUGAUCUCCCUCAACCUAGGGGCACGGUAACUAGACAGUAGGAUGCGUCCCCUCCGGGUGGGGUGACCGAAGGCCCCCUUCCCAAAGGAGAAGAUUCGAGCCCCAAAGUUGGGCUCCAGAACUGUUAGGAAUAACGCUCAAAAUCUUAAGGAAAUUGAACACUUGAACAAAGGAUUCUUAGCAAAGCAAUUUUACUUCUGCGCAGAGAGGUGCCUCCUUGUCCAGUCGCCAUGAGAGCACACCUGAAAAAGGGGCACGAGAGCCUUUACUCCUGACACAAGUACUGCCCCUGUACCCUUUCUCCAUUGGCCAGGGUCAGGUCGUACAAUCUAAACUAAUCCUGGUUGGCUAAACAUUGGAUUUUUUUUAGAUAAGGUGGGCACGUAAAAAAGGCAGAGAAUAAAGGGGAAGGGGUGUCUGUAAUGAGCUAAAAAGUUAGUCCUCUUUCCAAAUAAGGAAAGGAAUGUGAGCAGGUACAGAUACCACCUGGUACUGUGGCAUGCCUGGGCAUGUAACAAAGGAAAAAAGAGAAAAAAGGAGAAAAAGGAAAAAAGGUGGAGGGAUUA
rnacentral:lncRNA from 1 species